rnacentral:rRNA from 1 species
GAUGAACGCUGGCGGCAUGCCUAAUACAUGCAAGUCGAACGAGAGGAAGGAAAGCUUGCUUUUCCGAAUCUAGUGGCGAACGGGUGAGUAACACGUAGGUAACCUGCCCAUGUGCCCGGGAUAACUUCUGGAAACGGAUGCUAAAACCGGAUAGGUAGCAGACAAGCAUUUGACUGCUAUUAAAGUGGCUAAGGCCAUGAACAUGGAUGGACCUGCGGUGCAUUAGCUAGUUGGUGAGGUAACGGCCCACCAAGGCGACGAUGCAUAGCCGGCCUGAGAGGGCGGACGGCCACAUUGGGACUGAGACACGGCCCAAACUCCUACGGGAGGCAGCAGUAGGGAAUUUUCGUCAAUGGGGGGAACCCUGAACGAGCAAUGCCGCGUGAGUGAGGAAGGUCUUCGGAUCGUAAAGCUCUGUUGUAAGAGAAAAACGACAUUCAUAGGGAAUGAUGAGUGAGUGAUGGUAUCUUACCAGAAAGUCACGGCUAACUACGUGCCAGCAGCCGCCGUAA